UUCCAGCAAAUUAUCUCAAAUUUAAAAACUAUUUAUCCAAGUGUAAAACUUAAUAAUAACUUGAGUUCUAAAAUUCAACCAAUUAAACGGCUUCCCAGUAUAAAGUAAUCUUAGCUGGCCUUAAACAGAGUGAAGGAAAAUUAGCAAAGAAGUUUAAAUUUAAAGCAUGUUGCCUGUAAGUGAAUUAUGUGAAGCGACAUUACUUGGCACACUUCCUUCCACUUACGCAUCCUUUUUCCGGGUUUCUUUAUCGUUAUUAUAUUUUUUUCUUGGUAUUAUACGUCGGAAACAUUGAAUUGAAUAUGAAUAUAUAAUAAAAGUUUCCAACGGAAGUAUCCUACACCACAAUACCGUCUAAGUUGGUUGCUUUAUUUAUCAACAAUAAUAUUUUCCAAGAUCAAAGAUCAAAUAAGUAAUAAUUAAAAUUAAAAAUAAUCUGGAGCAUUGUCUUCUACUUAAUGAUCUCUGGUCUUUCAGUAAAUUAAAUUACUCAUUAAAUUACUGUGAAUAUUAUCAGAUCUACUCGCGUAAAUGCGUUUCUAGGACAUUUAUAAAUUUAGUACAUAUUAUAAGUACUGAACAUUAAAUCUUUCUUUCGUCCGCAUAGCAUGAAGCAAUUGCAUCAACUGAAAUACACAAUACAGUACUACAAUAAUAUUGAAAAUGACUUUUUAAUCCGAGUUAAGUGAAAGGAGAAGACUAACACUGGUGUAUUGUUUACUCUCAUCAGUUUCAGUUCCUAAGAAUCGAAUUAAGUUAAUUAAUAAACGCCUACUAGCUUAGAUGUUCCGCCUUGUGUCAAUCAUUAAAAGGAAUUUUCAUACUUUCCAACAAAACCAUAUAACAUCAGUGUUUAUUUUCUUUAAACAUACUAUACUACUUAGCCCUG